rnacentral:rRNA from 1 species
CUGACGGUGAAGGUGAAAGCUAGGGGAGCGAACGGGAUUAGAAACCCUGGUAGUCCUAGCCGUAAACGAUGGAUGCUGGGUGUGGGGGGUAUAGAUCCCGUCCGUGCGGAAGCUAACGCGUUAAGCAUCCCGCUUGGGGAUUACGGCCGCAAGGUUUAAAUUCAAACGAAUUGACGGGGGCCCGCACAAGCAGCGGAGCGUGUGGUUUAAUUCGAUGAUACACGAAGAACCUUACCUGGGCUUGACAUGUAGGUAGUAGUGAAGAGAAAGCGGAACGUCCCUUCGGGGAGCGUACACAGGUGGGGCAUGGCUGUGGUCAGUUCGUGCGGUGAGGUCUUGGGUUAACUCCCGUAACGAACGCAACCCUUGCCCUUAGUUACAUGUGUCUAAGGGGACUGCCCGGGACGGUUUGGGAGGAAGGUGGGGAAGACGUCAAGUCAGCAUGGCCUUUAUGUCCAGGGCUACACACACGCUCCAAUGGCCGGUUCAAUGGGUCGCCAAGCCGUGAGGUGGAGCCAAUCCCCCAAAGCCGGUCAAGUUCGGAUUGUGGGCUGCAAGUCGGCCAUAUGAAGGAGGAGUUGUUAGUAAACGGGCGUCAGCAAUAGUGCGGUGAAUACGUUCCCGGGCCUUGUACA